AUCAGAGAGUCAUUCAAAUUCAAGAUAUCGAAUAGAUGUUGGUUAUGCCUUGAACAGUUAUAUGAAUUUUAUUGAGUGUGUUAUCAGUACUGUGGAUGUGUUGGAAGAUGGGUGUUUUCUUGUCUGAAAUAUAUGAAUAAAAUACAGAUCGGUUGAUUUUAAUUUAUAUAAUUUUUAAGAAAGACAAUACAUCGAAAUAUGAAACAUUGAAAAGAAAUGUCAAAUCAGAGGAAUAGAGAACAGAACAACUGCACACCUCUUGAAGAACUGAAAGUCUCUGCUGUGAGGCAUGGAGUAAUGAAGGAGGUUCCUGCCCUGCACCCAGGAUGGGCAGAAGAGCGGCAGUACUUGUGCUACAAGCCACCACCCACCGGUGGUCCUGAUGGUUCAUUUCCGUUGGGUGCUAAAGAAGCCUGGCUGGAAAGAAUGGAGUUUUUGAAUGCUGAUCUCAUGUGGCUGCUUGAGCUGGAACAGUUCAGAUUUUGGUCACAAAUAAUCUAUAGUGAAAACACAUUGGAUGUAGUACUGUCAUUCUUGCAAGGUGCACCUCCAUAUUAUGCAUUGGAAGAGUUUCCUCAGGAUGAUGAGAUGUGGAACAGCUUCCAGAAGACCUAUUACUUGGUGUUUCUUGUGUUAACUCGCCUUGCCACAUACAAAGAAUCUGAAACAGAAUUCAUCUCGCCAGAAUAUCUCGGCAAGCUGAUAUAUGACAAUUAUGUGUUUACCAUUCCAAUAAUUCUGGACAUCUGCAUGUUUUAUGGCAGAGAGAACAGGACACAGGUUCUUCAUAUAAUUGACACUGUAUUUGAAAUACAACCUAAUUAUCAAGAAGACCUUAAAAAGUCUGUUCCUUUUGUCUGCAAGGUUUUCAGAUAUAUAGAGAACAAGUUUGGUGGCCGGAAGCUGCCAGAGGGAGAACUGAUGAAACUCUCAGAGAGACCUAAUGAGCAUGAAGACAUGACUCUGUUUGAAUUCAAGGACAUGGUGCUGUAUACACUGGACAGUGCAGCAAACUUGAGUUUGUUUCUAGAUUUAUAUAACCCAGCCUGCAAAAUAUUUCAUCAACAGCUGUUUGAAAUGAAAUUAGUGCAUUUCUAUGAAAACACAGUACCACAGAUGUACAGGAAACUGGAGAUAUUGGGAAAUAAGGAUGAGACACAGCCUAUUUAUGUCAGUCUGAAACACAAGUUGGACGUAAUGCGAGUGGAGUUGCUGAAAGUUUUCCGCAACUGCAUGGCAACAAGUCUCAAUUCCUUUUUGGAGAAAAUUGACAGUGUAACGGAGGCUGAAGUCAAGAGACAUGUUGAUGACUAUGUGGGAGUGCUGUCUGAGUGCCUCUCUGAGAAAAUGUUCAUUCAUGACUACCACUUGGCGUAUCCUAUUGAUCAGGACCUCGAUGCUAUGUCACAAGUCUGCCCAGAGAUGGAUUUCAUGAAAUGUGAUUAUCUGCUAGAAGCUGUUAUGUCAUGCUUUGAUCCACCAAGUCAGAGCAUGAUGAAGAGCUGGAUGGCUGCACGUACCAAAAGACAAGAACUUUUGUCUGACAAUCAGAAGAAUGGAGAGGAGGCUGCAAGUAAGGAGUCUUCAGCAGGUUUAAAGAAGCAUGUGACAGGAGUUGAGCUUGAGUCUCUUAUUACAGAAGUCAAAGACAUCCUGCCACACUUGGGAGAUGGCUUUGUGGAGAGAUGUUUGGAGCACUUCAACUUUGUUAGCGAGUCUGUGAUAAAUGCCAUAUUAGAAGAUACAUUACCAGCUGAUCUCAGAAACAUAGAUCAAACAUUACCAAGGAUACCUCGAGACACGAUGGGAGUGACUGAGGCAGCUCUAGAUAUACAGCGACUCAGUAUAUUUGAUAAUGAUGAGUUUGACAUUAUGACCCAAGAUCAAGUGGAUACAUCCAGAAUUCAUAAAGGAAAGAGGAAAGCAAAGUACAGGAACUUGAAUGAACUAAUAGAUGAUAAAUCUCACCGGGCGGAGUUCCGUGACAUGUACACCAAAUUUGGCGUAAUUGACACUGAAGGCAGCUUGUACAAUGAUGAGUAUGAUGACACGUAUGAUUACUUGGAUGUGUCAGUCAGAGAGGAAGGUGAUCUGGAGAGGAGGCCAUUUGUUGUGCCGCGUGUGUUGUGUGCUAAAGAGGACGAGGACUUAGGUGGAGUAGGAAGUGAGAGAGAGGAGCAGGGAGAGCUGGAAGAUACAGAAGAGCCACCACGGGAUGAGUUUGUGCCCAAUCCGGAGGAGCAGAGAGCCAAGGCUGAGCAGCGGCGACAGCAGCAGUUGCAGUCUCGUGGCAGGUACUGGAGGAAAGGUCUCCCAGCCAAGAAUCAGGAUGUUGUAGGAUGCCCCAAAGGGCAGGGGCAGGAGAAGCAGAUUGUCGUCAAUCGAGAACACAAAAACGUGCAUAAAAGCAGUCGAGGAAAUCAUAAUAGACGAAUUUUCUCACAGAGAAAGAGGCAGCAGUUAUGAUGAUGUGUUAACGGCUUAUGGAUUUUUAUGCAGUUUAGUUUUGUAGCCCUCGUGUUGCAUUUGCGUAACAUGUCCUUGUAUGGAACAGCUGUGAAGGUGGAGAGAGCGAGGAAAGUAGAGGAAGAUUUUGCCUAGUGUGAGGCGGAUGUUGAACCUGCCGCAUCUUGCAUAAGAUUAUCAGACAACAGCUGAUUCGCGGGAUAUAUCGCCCACCGCGGCUCGCGG